rnacentral:rRNA from 1 species
AUUGAACGCUGGCGGCAGGCCUAACACAUGCAAGUCGAACGAGUGGCGGUCGGGUGAGUAAUGUCUGGGAAACUGCCCGUUGGAGGGGGAUAACUACUGGAAACGGUAGCUAAUACCGCAUACCAUCGGAUGUGCCUAGAUGGGCUUAGCUAGUAGGUGGGGUAACGGCUCACCUAGGCGACGAUCCCUAGCUGGUCUGAGCGGAUGACCAGCCACACUGGAACUGGGACACGGUCCAUACGCCUACGGGAGUGAGCAGUGGGGGAUAUUGCACAAUGGGCGCAAGCCUGAUGCAGCGACGCCGCGUGAGGGAUGAAGGCUUUCGGGUUGUAAACCUCUUUCGGUACAGAACGGGUAUGUGCAGAAGAAGCGCCGGCUAACUACGUGCCAGCAGCCGCGGUAAUAC